GAUGAACGCUAGCUACAGGCUUAACACAUGCAAGUCGAGGGGCAGCGAGAGGAAAGCUUGCUUUCCUUGUCGGCGACCGGCGCACGGGUGAGUAACGCGUAUCCAACCUUCCCCUUAGUAGGGCAUAGCCCGGCGAAAGUCGGAUUAAUACCCUAUGUUUUCCAAUGAGGACAUCUGAAGAAUACCAAAGGUUUACCGCUAUAGGAUGGGGAUGCGUCUGAUUAGGUUGUUGGCGGGGUAACGGCCCACCAAGCCUACGAUCAGUAGGGGUUCUGAGAGGAAGGUCCCCCACACUGGUACGGAGACACGGUCCAAACUCCUACGGGAGGCAGCAGUGAGGAAUAUUGGUCAAUGGACGUAAGUCUGAACCAGCCAAGUAGCGUGCAGGAUGACGGCCCUAUGGGUUGUAAACUGCUUUUAUGCGGGGAUAAAGUGAGGGACGUGUCCCUUUUUGUAGGUACCGCAUGAAUAAGGACCGGCUAAUUCCGUGCCAGCCGCCGC
rnacentral:rRNA from 1 species